UCUGAACCUGUCCUCCCAGGUGCGUUUCUGUCUGAGAUGGUCACUCGAAGCAUGGGAGUCUGAACCUACCUUCAUACUCUGAUGGAUUCCUGGAAAUUGGAUGUUUCCGUUCCUGUGUGGAUCGGAACCCCUGACCGGCUGACUGCGGACUCCUGGAUUCCAGAACUACUCCAGUCUGAUCUAAAUUCUUGUCCUGGAUUAGAGUCCAGGACAUGAAUUUAGCAGACCAGAGCGGGGACGCUCUGGACAGCUCAGAGCCGCAUCUCGUUGGGAUUGUAUCGGCUUAUCCUGCCUAUGACUGAGAGGAUGGACUAAACUGUUAAACCAGAUAACUCCAUCAUCAUUUUCCAAAUUCUCCAGUCCACGGAGGUUCACCUGCCCCACAGGCUAAAGACUCCAGAAAACAGCGCUCCGCAGCACAAGAUUAACAUUAAUAAAUGUUUUAAUUCCUUCGGA